rnacentral:lncRNA from 1 species
AACUAGGGGACAAGUGGUAAUUUUCGGAAUCGUGAUAAGGCAAAGACGUGAAGCGUCUUGCCGAUAUGCGUGUCAUGCCAAUAGUAAACGUAGCUGAACAUGCUGACAUAUGUAUGAAAAGAGGAUGAGUGACAAAGUCUGGGUUAGACAUGUGGAUGCGACGCACAGAGCCUACAUAUAUAUAUAUAUAUAUAUAUAUAUAUAUAUAUAUAUAAUACUACUUUAUAAUAUAUACUUAACUGGAAGAUCAAAAGUUUUAAGACCAAGUCUUAAAAACAAGGAUGAAUUUUGGCCUUUGGAUGAAUUUAAUUGGUGUAGAUUGUGAUCCAUGUGAAAAAAAACCAUCCAAUCAAAAUGAAAGGAUUUAAACAAACAAACAUUCUCUUUCAUGAUAUAUAGUAAGGCUACUACGUAUUAUUAUUACAUUCAAUCUCUUAAGAAGCAAACUGCCACAAACUCUAAUCACUCUCACUUCCUCUCUCUAGAAACCCCAAUUGCCGGUUGUAGCAACAACACAACUGUCUUGCACCCUCAUGUCACCGUUUUCAAGCCGCCAAACUCUUUUCCACUCUCAAGAACAUCCAUUGCUUGACAUUGUUGUAGCAAUGUAGCUUAACCCGACUGAAGAACAUCUACUGCUUGAUGUUGAUGGUAAAUCGACGAUCUCUCUCUCUCUCUCUCUUUCUCUCUAAAAACCAUAACUCUGGCUUCUCAUAACAAUUACAAUCCUCUCCUACACGGCCAAUCGAGGAGGCAUUCAUGGGUUGUAAAAAUCAGGUUUGAUUGUUUUGUUUUUUCCAUACAUAAUGCUUUUGAUAUCGUUGAUGAAUAUGGUUUUGUUUUUUUAGAAGUUUCAAAUGUGUUGCAAUGGCUGGUUUAAAGUACAUGAAUAUUUUAUUGGGUUGAUAUUUGAAUUCUAAAGACUAAACUGCAAAUUUGGUCCCUAUGGUUAGCAGAAAAAUGUGGAUGAAGUCCAAAAUCUUUUCAACUUGCACCACUAGUCCAAAAUCAUAAAUUUUUUUGUGGUUUUGGUCCCUAAAAAAGUUGAAAAGACUAUUUUACCCUUUUAAUUUUUUUUUUACAUUUUUUAUAUUUAUUUUAAUCUUUUUUAAUUUUGAAAAAGAAAUUAAAAAAAAGAGCAAAGCUUGCUCACCCACCCAUCCACCAUACCUCUCUCUCUCUCUCUCUCUCUCUCUCUCUCUCUCUCUUAUCGUGUUCUUAAUUUUUCAUCCCAUCCCCACUCCUUCUAUGUUAAUUAUGAUGUCACUUAUCACAUCCUCUCUCCAUUUCCCUUUAUUCCAACAAACCCACAUAAACAAAAAUUAUUAGAGAAAGGGAUAAUGGAUUAGAAUCAAGAUUGGAGCUUUGUAAUUGGGUUCCAUAUUCCUCACAUAACCAUCGAGUUCACACCAAACCUGCAUCACAUAUACCAUCUUCUUCUCCAAGCUACCAUAUCUACAUAUCAACCAUUUUCACCAUCGUUUACUGAGAUCCCUACAUCACUAUCUUGACCCUCUAUCAUCUCAAUAGCUAACACCAUCACAUGUAAUAAAAAAAAUAAAACAAAUAAAAAAACACCUUUGUUCUUCCAUGGUAUAACAGACUCGAAAAUCAAUUCCUCUAAGGGAAGAGAUGAGACACAAACAAGAAAAUCGGUCUAUGUUAAAUCCAUACUCAAUUGGUGGUGGUUUGGUGAGGGAAGUAGUAAGGAGUACGACAUUCAGAUGCUCUGGUGGUUUGAGGCGUCGGAACCCUAAUCGUGGUAAGUUCGAAAGGAGAUGUUGUUUUCCGUAGUGAUGGUGGUCACCCCUUUUAAUAUGUGAAGGGGAUAUUGGGGUUGAAGAUGAAGAUUGAUCAAAGGAGAGGAUAUCAUAGGGUAUUUAUACCAUAAAACCAUGAGCUUCAAGCGAUCUGGAUCAACGAUUCUGGCAACCUAUGCCGCUUGCUUCUUGUUUUUUAGAUCCAACUUAAGCCUACAUUUGAUUAUUUGUGGUUUGUUUGUUGUAAUCUUGAUGGACGAUGAAGACAGUAGGGACGUCAGAGGAAGAAGGUGUCUCGGAGGAAGAAGACAAUGUGUUUGAUCGAUGGGUUUUUUUAUCUUCCGUGUGUGUGUGUGUGAUAGGGGAGAGAGAGAGAGAGAGGGGGUACGGUGGAGGGCUGGGUGAGUUGUCUUUGUUAUUUUUUAUUUAUUUUCAAAAUAAAAAAGGAUUAAAAUAAAUACAAAAAACUUAAAAAAGAAUUUAAAAGGGUAAAACAGUCUUUUCAACUUUUUCAGGGACCAAAACCACAAAAAAUUUAUGAUUUUGGACCAGUGGUGCAAGUUGAAAAAAAUUUGGACUCCAUCCAUAUUUUUUUACUAACCACAGGGACCAAAUUUGCAGUUUAGUCAAUUCUAAAAGAUGUAUAAUAGAUAAAAUGUUAUAUUGUCGUUGAUUUAUAGAAAAUGAUGUGAUUUUUUUUACAGAAAUAUUCUUUCCUAUUAAAGAUGAUGUCAAUUUGGAGGUUUGAAACUUAUAUAUGUUCAAUGAGUUGGACUGAGGAUUUAAAAUUCAGUUUUUAUUCGGAUCUUUUCCAUUGAUCUGGAGUUCAUUUCUUACAUACUUAUAAAGCUAGCAUUUUCCUUGAACCUCAUGCAUUUGAAACCCCCAUAAAAAUUUGCAAACACCUAAUGCAUUUGAAACCUCUUAUUUUAAUGAUACCACUCAAAAGUCUCUUAAUAAUGAUUAACAAUUCAAAGGUUUUAUAACAUAUAAAAUAUAUUUAAUAAACAAUUAAUGGAUACUCUACUAUAAAAAGGCCAAUCUUUUUUAGUAGACACACAAAUACAAAUUACAUACAAAAUUGACAAAGAAAACAAGUUUAAAGUUUUUUGUGUUGGUUUGAGGGCUUUGCACAAUUUUUCGAGCCAUGUUAUUAUGUUGAACUUUUCAAUUUGUAAGUUUGUUAUAUACCAAUUCUUUUUUGUAUUUUCGUGAUUUAAGUAUUCUUUUAAGAAUAUCAUUGUAUGUUGUGACUGAAAUUUUAAUGUAAAUUAGAUUAGAUUCAUGUUAUCGAUCAUAUGUUAUGGAAGGUGAUAUAUAUAAUAUUUAAUUACCUAUUGUAUACAUAUUUGUAUGUUCAUGUUGCUUUAAAACAAUAAUUAAUUAAAAAUCAUGGAUAUGUCAUAUUAUCCAUAUUAUACAUGUAAGCCUUUUUAAAAAUGUAAAUUGUCUAUCUUAUCACUUUAUAUUUUAGUAUAUGUUUAAC